GGGGAAGGGUCGCUUGCUACCUGACCUAGCGGCGGACGGGUGAGUAAUGCUUAGGAAUCUGCCUAUUAGUGGGGGACAACAUUCCGAAAGGAAUGCUAAUACCGCAUACGCCCUACGGGGGAAAGCAGGGGAUCUUCGGACCUUGCGCUAAUAGAUGAGCCUAAGUCAGAUUAGCUAGUUGGUGGGGUAAAGGCCUACCAAGGCGACGAUCUGUAGCGGGUCUGAGAGGAUGAUCCGCCACACUUGGGACUGAGACACGGCCCAGACUCCUACGGGAGGCAGCAGUGGGGAAUAUUGGACAAUGGGCGAAAGCCUGAUCCAGCCAUGCCGCGUGUGUGAAGAAGGCCUUUUGGUUGUAAAGCACUUUAAGCGAGGAGGAGGCUACUGAAAUAAUCCUUUUGAUAGGGGACCUUACUCCCAAAAAAAGCCCCGCUUACUUUUGCCAGAGCCCGGUAAUCAAAAGGGGCCAGCGUAUUCGAAUUACUGGCCUAAACCGUCCU
rnacentral:rRNA from 1 species